UACGUAGGGGGCAAGCGUUAUCCGGAAUUACUGGGCGUAAAGCGUGCGCAGGCGGUUCGUUGUGUCGGCGGUGAAAGCCCCGGGCUUAACCUGGGAAUGGCCGUUGAAACUGGCGAACUGGAGUGUGGCAGAGGGGGGUGGAAUUCCGCGUGGUAGCAGUGAAAUGCGUAGAUAUGUGGAGGAACACCGAUGGCGAAGGCAGCCCCCUGGGUCAAAACUGACGCUCAUGCACGAAA
rnacentral:rRNA from 1 species